rnacentral:rRNA from 1 species
GUGGUUUAAUUCGAAGCAACGCGCAGAACCUUACCAACCCUUGACAUGCCUGGACAAUCCCAGAGAUGGGACUUUCCUUCGGGACCAGUGCACAGGUGCUGCAUGGCUGUCGUCAGCUCGUGUCGUGAGAUGUUCGGUUAAGACCGGCAACGAGCGCAACCCACAUCUUUAGUUGCCAGCAGUUCGGCUGGGCACUCUAAAGAAACUGCCCGUGAUAAGCGGGAGGAAGGUGUGGAUGACGUCAAGUCCUCAUGGCCCUUACGGGCUGGGCUACACACGUGCUACAAUGGCAUCUACAGUGGGUUAAUCCCCAAAAGAUGUCUCAGUUCGGAUUGGGGUCUGCAACUCGACCCCAUGAAGUCGGAAUCGCUAGUAAUCGCGUAACAGCAUGACGCGGUGAAUACGUUCCCGGGCCUUGUACACACCGCCCGUCAAACCAUGGAAGCUGGGAGUGCCUGAAGUCGGUUACCGCAAGGAGCCGCCUAGGGUAAAACUGGUAACUAGGGCUAAGUCGAAACAAGGUAGCCGUACCGGAAGGUGCGGCUGGAACACCUCCUU